AAGUCGUAACAAGGUUUCCGUAGGUGAACCUGCGGAAGGAUCAUUAACUGAGGAGAUUUGAAUGUAGUGUGGGAUUUGAGCGCAUUUGAAUAGUUAAUUCUAUGCGGUUUAUAUACAAAUUGUCUGUAAUAAUUAUUUAUAAUAAUAAUAAUAAAUACAACUUUUAACAAUGGAUCUCUUGGCUCUU
rnacentral:misc_RNA from 1 species